CACGUAGGGCGCAAGCGUUGUCCGGAAUUAUUGGGCGUAAAGGGCUCGUAGGCGGUCUGUCACGUCGGGAGUGAAAACUCAGGGCUUAACCCUGAGCCUGCUUCCGAUACGGGCAGACUAGAGUUCGGCAGGGGAGACUGGAAUUCCUGGUGUAGCGGUGAAAUGCGCAGAUAUCAGGAGGAACACCGGUGGCGAAGGCGGGUCUCUGGGCCGAUACUGACGCUGAGGAGCGAAAGCGUGGGGAGCGAACAGG
rnacentral:rRNA from 1 species